UUACGGGCAUAUCACGUUGAAACACCGGUUCCUGUACGAUCACCGAAGUUAAGCAACAUCGAGCCUAAUCAGAACGUAGAUGGAUGACCAGUUGGGAAUAACGGGUGCUGUU